rnacentral:rRNA from 1 species
AUGGCUCAGGAUAAACGCUGGCGGCGUGCCUAAUACAUGCAAGUCGAACGAGGAGUUCUGUAGCAAUACGGGAACUCCUAGUGGCGAAUGGGUGAGUAACGCGUUGGUGACCUGCCCCAAAGAGAGGAACAACUCCGGGAAACUGGAGCUAAUACCUCAUGUGGCUACCAGGGUUAGAGGCCUGGUAUCUGAAGGAGCAAUCCGCUUUGGGAGGGACCUGCGUCCCAUCAGCUAGUUGGUAGGGUAACGGCCUACCAAGGCGACGACGGGUAGGGGCCUGAGGGGGUGGCCCCCCACACUGGAACUGAAACACGGUCCAGACACCUACGGGUGGCAGCAGUAGGGAAUAUUGCACAAUGGGCGAAAGCCUGAUGCAGCAACGCCGCGUGAACGAUGAAGUACCGUUCGGGUUAGUAAAGUUCUUUUCUGAAGGACGAGGAAGGACGGUACUUCAGGAAUAAGGAUCGGCUAACUACGUGCCAGCAGCAGC